UUUUGAUUUCUCUGUAGACUACAUCAAGUUCAUCACCCAAAGACUAAUUACCAUCCAUCACUAUACACAUGUGCCCAGUCACCUCUUUUGCUCCCCUUCCUUCCCCUUUCCCCUCUCGUAACCACCUGUCCAAUCUCUAUAUCAAUGUGUUUCUUUGUUGUUGUUGUUGUUAUGUUCCACUUAUGAGUGAAAUCAUCCUGUUAUUUGAUUUUCUCCAUCUGACUUAUUUUGCUUAGCAUAAUACUCUCAAGGUCCAUCUAUGUUGUCACAAAUGGCAAGAUUUCAUCUUUUUUAUGGCUGAAUAAUAUUCCAUUCUGUGUAUACACCACAUCUUCUUUAUCCCUUCAUCCAUUGAUGGGCACCUAGGUUGUUUCCAAGUCUUGGCUAUUGUGACCAAUGCUGUAAUGAACAUAGGGGUGCAAAUACCUCUACACAUUCCUGUUUUUGUGUUCUUUGGAUAAAUAACCCAGCAGUGGAAUAGCUGGAUCAUAUGGUAGUUCUAUUCUUAAUUUUUUGAGCAAUCUCCUUACUGUUUUCCAUAGUGGCUUCAUCAGUUUACAUUCCCACCAGCAGAGUAUGAGGGUUCACUUUUCUCUGCAUCCGCUCCAACACUUGUUAUUUCUUGUCUUGUUAAUUACAGCCAUUCUGACCAGUGUGAGGUGAUAUCUCAUUGUUGUUUUCAUUUUGAUUAACAUUUAAAUCCAUGGACUUUAAGUAAAGCAGAUUAGCCUCCUUAAUGUGGGUGUGCCUCAUCAAAUCAGUUGAAGGGUCUUAAGAGAAAGACAGAGGGCCCACAAGGAAGAGGGAAUUCUACCUCCAGACUGCCCUCGGACUCCAGCUGCAGCAUCACUUCGUCCCUAGGGCUCCAGCCUGCUGGCCUCCCCUGAAAACUUUGGGAUUUGGGGUUUGCCAGCUCCCACAAUCACGUGAGCCAAUUCCUUAAAAUAACUCUCUCUCUCUCUCCACCCACACAUACACACACAUGCUAUUGGUUCUGUUUCUCUGGAGAAACCUAACUAGUAGAAGUGGAAUUUACUGAACACACCUCAGCAGCCACAGAUUUUCAAUAUAUCUCCUAAGGGGCAACUAAUUUUGCCUGUUGCCAAGUCCUGUAGGAUUUGCCAAGAUGAGUUUGCUGCAAUGGGAGGAGGCAAACUGCAGUCAGACUGCCUGGUUUCAGUCCCCAGCUCCACCACUUACUUGCUGUAUGACUUGGGCAAUUUUCAUACUCUCCGUGUGCCUCAAUUUUCUCAUUUGUAAAAUGAGAUAGAAGUUCAGGGGUACCUUAUAAGGUUGUGUAGGAUUAAAUGAGAUAAUAGAUGCAAAGUCUUUAGAAUAGUUUCUGAGACAUAGCAACACCUUAAUAAGUUUUGGAGAUGAUUACAGGUCCCCUGGAGUGCCAUAUCUGAAGCCUACAGAGCAUAUACUGUAUGUUCAGCUAGCAGAGUCUAGGGAGCACCCAAUAGUCAAGUGCUGUCAUAUUUUGCAGUGAGAUGCACUAAGAGGAGCAAAUAAAGAUCAUAAACAACCUCAUAUUGAUUCAGGUCAAGUUUUGUCCCCAAAUGGGUUAGGGAGAAAACUUGGUUUUCAGAGAUUUUUGGAUUUUGGAACUGUGGAUAAGGGAUUGCAGACCUGCCUCAUAUGAUAAUGUUUUCAAGAUACCUGAAAACAAGUUGGCUUGCUGGGUGAGCUUGUUUAAUAUUUCCCACUUGAACAAUGCAGCAUGUCUAUCAUAAAAAUAAUUUUUGUUUAGGCAUAAUUGAUAAAGAACUAUGUUUUAGACUCAACUGGGAAAUUAUAUCAGUUGCUUCUGGAGACUUCUGGUUUGGAAGACUAAAGCUAUGGCCUCAGGAUAGAGACAAUUCUUGUCUUCUUGCUGUGCUGUUUGUCACAGCAGAGCGUAUGCCUCCACUUCCCACUAAAUUCUACCUGUUCCUUGCACAAGCUGCUAGGCUGACAGACCCAGGCUGGCAAUGUGCUGGAAGGAAGCCGGGGGCGACAGGCUCUUGGUAGGAUGUGGAGGAAUUAGAAUCAUAUUCCUUUAUCCUUUCAACAUAUAUUUUUGAGCACUUACUCUGUGUCAAAUGUUGUCAGCUCUAUCUUUGUAGCAUUUUAUUGUUCAUCAUGUGCUUUCACAUUUAUUGCCUCUUUUAGUAACCCUAUGAAGAAGAUGUAGUAAAUAUUGUCAUCCUUGUUUCACUGGUUAAGAAAGUUUGUGUCACUUUAAGGCACAGAUGUAGCUGAUCUGAAGCAUAAGCCCAGUUCUUCACUUUUUUCUACUCCACGAGUAAUAGAGGUUUGCACUUUAUGAAAAUAGGGAUGAAUAUAUGUUUGGAACCCAUAAAUAGUGAACUAUUGGCAAUGGUGGGUGCCAACCAUCAAAAUAGGAUUUAAGUAGCUAAACAUCUUCUCAUGGAACCUGUUUCAGCUUAAGGUGGUUAAUCAGAUAUUUCAUGUUAUAAGGGUUACCUUGUGCUUUGGAUGCUGUGCGGCAUUGCCCACAUUCCCUCUUCAGGACUAAAGGGCUUAGUCCCUUAGCUACCGGGAAGGUUGUUGGCUAAUGUCUCUCUCUGGGAAUUGCCAUCAGGUGGAGAGAGAGCCCCACCCUCUUUGAGGUUCACCUGCAUCCCAUGAUGCUGAGAUAUAAAAGUUCCACCCCCUUCUCCUGACUGGGGACAACUCUGAACGGCCAUUCCUGCUCUAGACUUCCCUGUGGGGUUAGCUGAGACCUUGCUGCACCUCCACCAUGGCCCAGUUUCCAGUCUGACUCCUCCCGCGUUUGUUCCACAGCUGUUGAACCAAGGGCACUCCCAAAUACACCUCUGCACUUAAAUCAUCAUCUCAGAGUCUGCGUCCAGGGGACCACAACCUGCGAAACCAGGUCUCAGUGGGUGAAGGAAAAAAGUAGUUCUCAGAACAGAAAAUUACAUGAGGAACUUGAAGGACAAGGCGUUUGUUGGAAUGGGAGACGCAGAACAUUAGAGCAGACUGGAAUACUUUUGGUAAUGAAGCAUGGGGUUGAAAUGAUGUGAAAGGGAAAUCAUUUAACCAUGUAGACUGAACAAAGGAGAAUUCCAUGAUAAUGACUCCAGGACCUAGUUUUCAGGAAAGGAAAAUGAUGGACAUUGGAAUGAGGUCACCCUGGCCGUGUGGCAUUGGAUCCAUCAGUCCACUUGGGUUUGGCAACCUGGUUUGAUUCUCUGCCAGAGCAUGAGUUAGUUUUCAUCUCAACAGUCCUCCCACUUCUUUGAGGGUAAAAAAUAGGCCCAUUUUGUAAUAUACUGCAAGAUAUCUCAGGGUAAGAGCUAUUUUAGGGAAGGAGGAUUUUCACAAACAAACUGGCGACUCACUUUGAACUGGAGUUUCCAGGUUAAAACAGUUGCAUUUGCUGGGGAAAAGGAAGAGCUGUUAUUGUUGUCAUUGUUUUUUCUAGUAUAUCCUACCAUGCAACUGCUUUGGGAUAAUAACAAAAUGAUUUCACUAUGGAAAAACUGCAGAGAAAAGGAACUGGGCUCUUUGAUUGGCUAAUAAUGAACAUAAAGGACUUCAUGCUUGUUGAAUGGCAGAUUGAAAUCCACUGUGUAUUCAUGCAGAUCUUAUGGGGGUGGUGUUGGAUUGGACCACAAAUUAGUGUUGGCAUUAAUGAGAUGGAAGCCAUAAAAUGCAGAGAGUUCCAAUAACCAUGAUCUCUGAUAAGGCCUGAUUGAAAACACCCAGACUUUUCAGACAAGUUGUGUGUGAGAGCAGAGCAAUAAACAACAGAGACAUCCAAAAUGGGGGAAAACUGGGGAUUAUAUAACGGACUGAAGUGGUGUUAGGAUGGUUAAAAUGACACAGUACAGCUGAGUGACAAACAUAGCCUUGCCUAGAAUAAUAAUUUUUAGAAACAGACACUGUUUAGAUACUGCUCAAAUGAUUGGAGAGAAAGAUUAUGCCCGUUCGUUGUAGGGAAGUUAGUCUAAAUCACGGACUGCUCUGUGACAAUACCACCACUGCCACUGCCAAUACUUACACACUUUAUAUGUGAUAUGUGUUGUGAUUUAUAGGUUACCACGCCCUUAGCAUUUGUUAUCCUGUUUAAUCCUCACAAUAUUUGCACAUCGAUAGUUGAAUACAUGUCUGUGCACCCAGUUAGCUUUUGAAUUCCAUGGCUGCAGGAACUGGGUCUUAUUCAUUUUAUGAAGCUUCUCCUCUUUCCAUUUAAUUGGCAUGAAUUCUUCUAGGUAAUUUGUUUCAAAGAACACUGCCAGGUGGAAAUCUCUCUUUCCCAGCAUUUCUGGGAUUAUCUGGCAUAUAGAAUAAAUGCUAUUGUGGCAACAUUAUAUUAUGUAAUGACAUUAAGUUGAUAAAUGAACAGAAGACAACAUGUAACAUUAACACAGGUGGCUUGCAUUUGCCCAUGGAAUUCUUGGAUGACCUCAGUCUGCAAAACUCAUCCGCAACCACUGUCAGUAUAUUCUCUUGCCCAAGUACGCUAACAAGGCCUUGGUGAGCAUAUGUGCAUCUUUAUCAAACCUUCUGGCUUCCUAGAACUCCAUCAUUAAGUUUUCAGGAUUUUUGUCUCAGUUUUGUCUCAGGUGAACAAGAUGGUACCUCUCCUGUUGGUGCCGCCCUUGCUUAUUUGUUGCUCAACCUUCAGUCUUUCAUUUUCUGUCCCUCUAGGGAAGUCCUGGGUCAUGAAGUAUUGCUCGUCCAGUCUGCUUUUUGUUCAAGGCACACACAGUGGUUGCUGUGUCACUAUGGGGACAAGAUUGUGUGGGAGAAUUUAUUUCAUUUCCUUGAUGGUCAUCAUCUUGGUUUUGUUCUUCCACAUCCUCAUUUGCCGUAUAACCUGAGAGUUACUUCAGUGCCUCUGUGUCCUUCAAGGGCCUCUUUGGGUAUGCUGGCCUUUAACCUGCCUUUUUUGUAGUUUGUCCUUUCUAUUAAAGUUUGAUAUAUUUGUGUCCAGCACAGAGCCUGACAUGCACUGUAUGUUUAUUUAGUAAAUGUUGAAAUGAAUGGAACUACCCUGCAUGAGAGAGGCCCUCUAUAUUCAUUAUAAGUAUGAGGAACAUUAAAUUAAGAGAAGUUACAUCUACAAUCUUCGGUAAAAAUUUACAGCUGAGAAGACCCUUAGCUAUCAACUAGGCCUGCCCACCUCAUCCCCACUGUUUGUAUUGAUAAGGAAAUUAAAUUAGAAGGGAAUCAUCUUUCCUAGUAUCUAGUAGUGAGUGGUUUAGUAAAGACUAGAACUCUGAGCCAUGGUCAGCAUCUGUCUCCUCACACAUCUUUCUCGUGGGUAACAACAGUAGACACAGAGAUGCUCCUGUGUGCACCAUAUUGAUCUUAUUUCAACAUCUUUCUACCAGGCAUGGCAUGUUGAUGGCUUUUUAUUUACAUUCCUUGAUGACUUCGUGUCUUGGCAUACCAAGAAUUUAAGAAAUGUCAGGGAGGGAACUCGCUGGUACAGAAUCAUAGAAUCUACAGGUCACAGGGUCCUCAGGCCAGUCAUGCUCUGAAGUUUGCAUCUCCAUCUACAACGUGCUGAUAGGUGGUCAGCCAGACUCUGUCGGAACAUUCAUGUCCUCUCUCUUUGGACAGAGCUGACUCUCAGGAUUUGGCUGAAAUCCGUCUUCCUAGAGCCUUCACUUAAGGUCCAUGUCCGCCCCUGUGGGGACACUCAGAACAACUGAAUUUCUGGCUCCCAUGGCAGUUCUUCCAGUUUCAUUUUCCAUGAUGGUUCUCUGUCUACAUUAACAGUUUCUUUCUAACAGUGUUUCCUGGCCUUUUGAACUCCAAGGCAGAUAUUAAAAGUGAUAAUGUUUGCACGGCACCCUGGGGUGAACCCUAGAGGAAUUAGGAUUGUUUGUCUGG
rnacentral:lncRNA from 1 species